rnacentral:rRNA from 1 species
CAGCCGCCGCGGUAAUACGAAGGGGGCUAGCGUUGUUCGGAUUUACUGGGCGUAAAGCGCACGUAGGCGGACUUUUAAGUCAGGGGUGAAAUCCCGGGGCUCAACUCCGGAAUUGCCUUUAAGACUGCCGAGCUAGCAGGUGAGAGAGGUAAGUGGAAUUCCGAGUGUAGAGGUGAAAUUCGUAGAUAUUCGGAAGAACACCAGUGGCGAAGGCGGCUUACUGGCUCAUACUGGACGCUGAGGUGCGAAAGCGUGGGGAGCAAACAGGAUUAGAGACCCCGGUAGUCCCUGUCUCUUAUAU